ACGAACGCUGGCGGCGUGCUUCACACCUGCAAGUCGAACGGAAAGGCCCUGCUUUUGUGGGGUGCUCGAGUGGCGAACGGGUGAGUAACACGUGAGUAACCUGCCCCUGACUUUGGGAUAACUUCAGGAAACUGGGGCUAAUACCGGAUAGGAGCUCCUGCUGCAUGGUGGGGGUUGGAAAGUUUCGGCGGUUGGGGAUGGACUCGCGGCUUAUCAGCUUGUUGGUGGGGUAGUGGCUUACCAAGGCUUUGACGGGUAGCCGGCCUGAGAGGGUGACCGGCCACAUUGGGACUGAGAUACGGCCCAGACUCCUACGGGAGGCAGCAGUGGGGAAUAUUGCACAAUGGGCGGAAGCCUGAUGCAGCAACGCCGCGUGCGGGAUGACGGCCUUCGGGUUGUAAACCGCUUUCGCCUGUGACGAAGCGUGAGUGACGGUAAUGGGUAAAGAAGCACCGGCUAACUACGUG
rnacentral:rRNA from 1 species